rnacentral:rRNA from 1 species
AUUGAACGCUGGCGGCAGGCCUAACACAUGCAAGUCGAGCGGAUGAAGGGAGCUUGCUCCUGGAUUUAGCGGCGGACGGGUGAGUAAUGCCUAGGAAUCUGCCUGGUAGUGGGGGAUAACGUCCGGAAACGGGCGCUAAUACCGCAUACGUCCUGAGGGAGAAAGUGGGGGUUCUUCGGACCUCACGCUAUCAGAUGAGCCUUGGUCGGUGUAGCUAGUUGGUGGGGUUAAUGCCUACCAAGGCGACGAUCCGUAACUGGUCUGAGAGGAUGAUCAGUCACACGGGAACUGGGACACGGUCCAGAGUCCUGCGGGAGGCAGCAGUGGGGAAUAUUGGACAAUGGGCGAAAGCCUGAUCCAGCCAUGCCGCGUGUGUGAAGAAGGUCUUCGGAUUGUAAAGCACUUUAAGUUGGGAGGAAGGGCAGUAAGUUAAUACCUUGCUGUUUUGACGUUACCAGCAGAAUAAGCACCGGCUAACUUCGCG